GCUACAGCACUUGACCCAAAGGUUUAAGAAUUUGAAGUGCCUUCCAAAAUCUGAGAGGGAUGAGGUGUGGAGCAUGCUUUCAAAAGUCUUAAAAGAGCAACACUCUGAUGCAGAAACUACAGAACCCGAACCACCAAAAAAGAAAAUCAACCUUCUGCUGGGAGCAUCUGAUUCAGAUGAUGAAAAUGAACAUCCAUUGGUCUGCACUGCUUUGGAUUGUUACCGAGCAGAACCCGUCAUCAGCAUGGACGUGUAAGUUUGAGUGAAAAUUAACCAAUCUUAUGCCACUUUGAAGUAGUGCCAGUGAACUGAAAAAUCUAUUAUUCAUCCACUUUACUGGGGACCUCCAGAACUGAAAUUAUCAGACUCUACGCCGUGCGCCAGGCUUUGCAGCAGCAAUAUCCAGUCUGAUUGUAAGUACUUAAAGUGGGAUGAUUAAACGGAAACCUUAUCUUCAAUGUUCCAAGGUGAAAACUGGAGAGAAGUUAUCCAAUUAUGGAUAAUAAAGAACAGGGAAAAUCUGAGAGCAGAAAUACUUGGUUGGGAUUCACCCAGCUCUGGUCUAAAGCAGGCAAAACACACAAACCGCAAGAAAUAUACAAUGAAAAAAAGCAGCAUCUGUAUUAAAAUGCGGAAUUCAAGCUGGGAGACAUCUUGACAAAAUGGACACCCAGCUACUUCUUACAUGCAAAAGGAAGACAAGAUGAUAAGAGCAAAGUCACUAGAAAAUGUGUAUGAAUGUAGGUAAUUACCUGCAGUAAACAACAUGAAGGAGGGCUAGAAAUGCUAAAAUCUUUUCUUAUUUGAAUGGUUUGGCUUUGUAUGCUUUAUGCAACAGGGGUUCAGAGACAAAAGGCUGAACAUUAGAACUCUAAGAAUGUGCUAAUAACAUUUAUGUGUAAUAUCUCACAAAGGAAAAAUCACAGCUAGGUUUCAGGUUUUUAAGUCGGGAGCAGGCAAUACUAUAUAAAUUAGAAACUUUACUAUCCCCUCUCACACCUCUACCCCCAACUCUAUUUCCAUUCCAUUGAUUUGUCCCUUAAGAGCUGCAUAAAUGAAAGCUGCAUUUUCUGUAAAUAGGAGAAGUCAGGUGAUCAUGUAGGAUUUCAGUCUGCUUUUGCAUUCUAAGGUCUCUAAUGUCAAGUUGUCUGUAAUUUGUACUGAACCAGAAGCAAAAUACUGCUGUGCUGUCACUGGAGUGUCACUGACUUCUCUGCAAAACUGAAUCUCUGUGACAUUUACACAUCCUAAAGACCUGUCUGAGCUUUGCAUUCCACUGAGAUGAUGCAGGAAUUAACAGUUACUUGAAGCUUCAAAUCGAAGCUCUUCUGGCAUUUUGCAGCUAUAGCAAGGAAUAAAAACGAUAACUUGUAACUGACCUUCUGUUCUGCUUCCUGAGAACAGCAUGUGCUGUAGAUCUAUACCUACAGGACUGCACUGGAGAUUUAAAGGCACUGCAAACAUUUCUGAAGAAAAUCUAUUUUACGUAAAUGAAUUUUUGCCAUUUAUUUGGGGAUAAUGAGAGCUGUCUACUUUAUAGUGAGGUGAGGUGUAUAGAUAUUCCACAUACAAAUUGCCAAACAUAGUGCUUCCUUGUUACCAAGGUGUCGCUCAACAGAGACUUAAAAAGGAAAGAACGCAAAUCAAAUUAACUUCAACUCCCACCAAGGAAUCAGAGUAAAAUUAGUACACAACUGGAGUAUAGUGCUCUGUUCAAGCAACAAAGGGUCUCAUUGUUUAUAAGCAUAUUUGCAUAUAUGGAAAACAAUAUCACCAAAUAAACAAAAGGUUCAAUAAAUACCUUUUUAAUUAUAUUGUUAGCAUAAUAAUAAUAGUUCACAUUGCAUUGCUGCAAUACUGAAUGUUUCCUCUUAUCACCAUCAAUUAUUGUAGACAGACCUGUUUAAAUGAAAGUAUUCCCCACCCCCAUCAUGGUCCAUCUUGAUCCCUCUCCAUUCAAUGAAGUUGCAGUCAUUUACAGUACUCAUGUAUUGCAAUAGUUUCUAUGACAACAGAUGAUGAUGUUAAGAGUAAAGAAUUUUGACUUGGGUUUAUGAAUAGGAAGAUAAAGGGAAAUGGACUGCAGUGGAAAAGCUUUUCUUUCAAACUUUUAGCUGAAAUAUCUAAGCUAUUAAUAUUUAACAACAAAUAAUUAUAACUGCACAAAAAAGCAAACAAAAUCAAACUGUUGUUUACCACAGAUCUUUUUGUAGCAAGGAAUAUUUCUCUUCAAAUCUUCACUUGGCUGAAUUAGAUUAGCUUUUGUGCCUCUCAUGGGAAGAAAUCUCAUUGGAGAACAGGGGUCCCUCACAGAUGAUGCUCUGCUCAGGCCCAGAGGGAAUAAUAUUCAAAC